rnacentral:rRNA from 1 species
GUAGGGAAUAUUGGGCAAUGGAAGGAAUUCUGACCCAGCCAUGCCGCGUGCAGGAAUACAGUCCUAUGGACUUUAAACUGCUUUUAUUAUAGAGUAACCUGGGGGACGUGUCCCCCACUGCAAGUAUAUAAUGAAUAAGCAUCGGCUAACUCCGUGCCAGCAGCCGCGGUAAUACGGGGGAUGCAAGCGUUAUCCGGAUUUAUUGGGUUUAAAGGGUGCGCAGGCUGAUCGGUAAGUCAUGGGUGAAAAGUCACUGCUUAACAGUGAUCGUGCCUAUGGUACUGCCGGACUAGAGUUUAAGAGGUGUAACUGGAAUGUGAUGAGUAGCGGUGAAAUGCUUAGAUAUGUCACAGAACGCCAAUCGUGAAGACAGGUUACAAACUUAAAACUGACGCUCAUGCACGAAAGCGUGGGGAUCAAACAGGAUUAGAUACCCCGGUAGUCC